rnacentral:rRNA from 1 species
UGGGGAAUAUUGGGCAAUGGGCGCAAGCCUGACCCAGCAACGCCGCGUGAAGGAAGAAGGCUUUCGGGUUGUAAACUUCUUUUCUCAGGGACGAAGAAAGUGACGGUACCUGAGGAACAAGCCACGGCUAACUACGUGCCAGCAGCCGCGGUAAUACGUAGGUGGCAAGCGUUAUCCGGAUUUACUGGGUGUAAAGGGCGUGUAGGCGGGAUGGUAAGUCAGAUGUGAAAACCAUGGGCUCAACCCAUGGCCUGCAUUUGAAACUGCUGUUCUUGAGUGAUGGAGAGGCAGGCGGAAUUCCGUGUGUAGCGGUGAAAUGCGUAGAUAUACGGAGGAACACCAGUGGCGAAGGCGGCCUGCUGGACAUUAACUGACGCUGAGGCGCGAAAGCGUGGGGAGCAAACA